GAUGAACGCUGGCGGCGUGCCUAAUACAUGCAAGUCGAGCGAACGGACGAGAAGCCUGCUUCUCUGAUGUUAGCGGCGGACGGGUGAGUAACACGUGGAUAACCUACCUAUAAGACUGGGAUAACUUCGGGAAACCGGAGCUAAUACCGGAUAAUAUUUUGAACCGCAUGGUUCAAAAGUGAAAGACGGUCUUGCUGUCACUUAUAGAUGGAUCCGCGCUGCAUUAGCUAGUUGGUAAGGUAACGGCUUACCAAGGCAACGAUGCAUAGCCGACCUGAGAGGGUGAUCGGCCACACUGGAACUGAGACACGGUCCAGACUCCUACGGGAGGCAGCAGUAGGGAAUCUUCCGCAAUGGGCGAAAGCCUGACGGAGCAACCCCGCGUGAGUGAUGAAGGUCUUCCGAUCGUAAGACUCUGUUAUUAGGGAAGAACAUAUGUGUAAGUAACUGUGCACAUCUUGGCGGUACCUAAUCAGAAAGCCACGGCUAACUACGUGCCAGCAGCCGCGGUAAUACGUAAGUGGCAAGCGUUAUCCGGAAUUAUUGGGCGUAAAGCGCGCGUAGGCGGUUUUGCAGACCGAUGUGAAAUCCCCGGGCUUAACCUGGGAACUGCAUUGGUGACUGCAAGGCUAGAGUGUGUCAGAGGGAGGUGGAAUUCCGCAUGUAGCAGUGAAAUGCGUAGAUAUGCGGAGGAACACCGAUGGCGAAGGCAGCCUCCUGGGAUAACACUGACGCUCAUGCACGAAAGCGUGGGGAGCAAACAGGAUUAGAUACCCUGGUAGUCCACGCCCUAAACGAUGUCUACUAGUUGUCGGGGAUUAAUUUCCUUGGUAACGCAGCUAACGCGUGAAGUAGACCGCCUGGGGAGUACGGUCGCAAGAUUAAAACUCAAAGGAAUUGACGGGGACCCGCACAAGCGGUGGAUGAUGUGGAUUAAUUCGAUGCAACGCGAAAAACCUUACCUACGCUUGACAUGUCCGGAACCCUGAAGAGAUUUGGGGGUGCUCGAAAGAGAGCCGGAACACAGGUGCUGCAUGGCUGUCGUCAGCUCGUGUCGUGAGAUGUUGGGUUAAGUCCCGCAACGAGCGCAACCCUUAAGCUUAGUUGCCAUCAUUAAGUUGGGCACUCUAAGUUGACUGCCGGUGACAAACCGGAGGAAGGUGGGGAUGACGUCAAAUCAUCAUGCCCCUUAUGAUUUGGGCUACACACGUGCUACAAUGGACAAUACAAAGGGCAGCGAAACCGCGAGGUCAAGCAAAUCCCAUAAAGUUGUUCUCAGUUCGGAUUGUAGUCUGCAACUCGACUACAUGAAGCUGGAAUCGCUAGUAAUCGUAGAUCAGCAUGCUACGGAGAAUACGUUCCCGGGUCU
rnacentral:rRNA from 1 species